AAUAUGUAAGAGGCAGCUUUAUGCUAAACUUGACAAAAGAAAGCCUCAGAGUGGGAAAGUCAACCUAAGAGAGAAACCGUUUAUUUUGUGGGUAAUGCUGAGUGCCCAUUUGAGUGGAGACCUAAAAACCAGACUCUGAGCAGUAGCAUGAACCAAAUGUUGUCCUAGACCUGAAGUUUGGCCAUAUCCCAUUGUAAGCAUUGACAUCACCACCUACCUCUCAGAGACAGUUAACAGGCCUGAGGUAUGAUGAGAAAAGAGAGCAACCAGACACAACAACUAACCAGCAUUCCUUCCUGAUAAUAGACCACUGACCUUGGAGUGGCUCUGGCCAGUCUACAAAGGAUGCACACUGAGUACCUUAGUGUCCUCUGCUUCACCUUUUGACAUCAGAGGGCAGAAAACUCCACCCAUGCCUCCAGGCUUCCAUGAAGAGGCAUGAAGCUCAGUUUCCGCUUUCAUAAAUAUUUAUGACUCCUCCUGUAGCUAUUAAAUAAUGUAUAUU
rnacentral:lncRNA from 10 species